UUUUUUCUUUGAAUUCCUAAAUGGGUCAUAACACAGUUUGUGAACUUCGGGUGUACACGUUCGAUUCUGUUGUCUGAAUUCGGUUCGGGAUGAACUCUC
rnacentral:ribozyme from 1 species